AUGACCUUACUCGAACAGAAUCUGCUUUAUAAGCUCGUAUAACUAUUACUUCGAGUACUGAGUAGAUAGGCAACAUGAUCUAGUUGAUGACCUAUGACCCUCAUUAUAUUAACACAGAAGAUA
rnacentral:snoRNA from 15 species